rnacentral:rRNA from 1 species
UCGGCUCAAUAACUCAGUGAUCCCAUGCUUCCAAGAAAAGCUGCGCGAGGAGUCCCUCAACUGACCGUACCGCAAACCGACUCAGGUGGGCGGGGUGAGUAUCCCAAGGCGCGUGAGAGAACGCUGGUUAAGGAACUCGGCAAAUUUACACCGUAACUUCGGGAGAAGGUGUGCCCUUUGAUGUGUAGCGGUUUACCCGUGAAGCGUUGGGGGGUUGCAGAGAAACGGGGGUGGCGACUGUUUACUAAAAACACAGGACUCUGCGAACUCGUAAGAGGACGUAUAGGGUCUGACGCCUGCCCGGUGCUGGAAGGUUAAGGGGAGUUGUCAGCGCAAGCGAAGCAACGAACCGAAGCCCCAGUAAACGGCGGCCGUAACAAUAACGGUCCUAAGGUAGCGAAAUUCCUUGUCGGGUAAGUUCCGACCUGCACGAAUGGCGUAACGACUUCCCCACUGUCUCGACCAGCGACUCAGCGAAAUUGUAAUCGCGGUGAAGAUACCGUGUACCCGCGGCAAGACGGAAAGACCCCAUGAACCUUUACUGCAACUUGACAGUGAAGCUCGGGACAGACUGCGUAGGAUAGGUGGGAGGCUGUAAGCCGGGAUUCUGGUCUCGGCAGAGCCAACCUUGAAAUACCACCCUGUUUGUUCUGGGCUUCUAACCCAGGCGAGUAAGCCUCGUCGGGGACACUGUCUGGUGGGCAGUUUGACUGGGGCGGUCGCCUCCCAAAAAGUAACGGAGGCGCGCGAAGGUUCCCUCAGGCUGAUUGGAAACCAGCCGUAGAGUGUAAUGGCACAAGGGAGCUUGACUGUGAGACCGACAGGUCGAGCAGGUGCGAAAGCAGGUCAUAGUGAUCCGGCAGUUCUGUAUGGAAGGGCUGUCGCUCAUCGGACAAAAGGUACUCUGGGGAUAACAGGCUGAUCGCGCCUGAGAGUUCAUAUCGGCGGCGCGGUUUGGCACCUCGAUGUCGGCUCAUCGCAUCCUGGGGCUGGAGCAGGUCCCAAGGGUUUGGCUGUUCGCCAAUUAAAGCGGUACGCGAGCUGGGUUUAGAACGUCGUGAGACAGUUCGGUCCCUAUCUGCCGUGGGCGCAGGAUACUUGAGAGGGUCUAACCAUAGUACGAGAGGACCUGGUUGGACGUACCUCUGGUGAUCCGGUUGUUCCGCCUGGAGCAUCGCCGGGUAGCUAUGUACGGAAUGGAUAACCACUGAAAGCAUCUAAGUGGGAAGCCGGCCUCAAGAUGAGGUAUCCCGGGACAUUAGUCCCCUGAAGGCCCGUCGAAGACUACGACGUAAUAGGCUGGGUGUGGAAGCGCAGUAAUGCGUGGAGCUAACCAGUACUAAUCGGCCGUGAGGCUUGACCU